rnacentral:rRNA from 1 species
UACGAAGGGGGCUAGCGUUGCUCGGAAUCACUGGGCGUAAAGGGUGCGUAGGCGGGUCUUUAAGUCAGGGGUGAAAUCCUGGAGCUCAACUCCAGAACUGCCUUUAAUACUGAAGAUCUUGAGUUCGGGAGAGGUGAGUGGAACUCCUAGUGUAGAGGUGGAAUUCGUAGAUAUUAGGAAGAACACCAGUGGCGAAGGCGGCUCACUGGUCCGGUACUGACGCUGAGGUGCGAAAGCGUGGGAGCGAACGAGG